rnacentral:rRNA from 1 species
UACGUAGGCAGCGAGCGUUGUUCGGAGUUACUGGGCGUAAAGGGUGUGUAGGCGGUUCUUUAAGUUUGGUGUGAAAUCUCCCGGCUCAACCGGGAGGGUGCGCCGAAUACUGAGGGACUAGAGUAUGGGAUGGGAAAGUGGAAUUCCUGGUGUAGCGGUGAAAUGCGUAGAUAUCAGGAGGAACACCUGCGGUGUAGACGGCUUUCUGGACCAUAACUGACGCUGAGACACGAAAGCGUGGGUAGCAAACAGG